rnacentral:sRNA from 1 species
GUGUGAAGGGCACAGAAAAGCAGUUCCGAAGCCUGAAGCCUGAACUGUGAGGCGAGGGCAUCCCUUUUUGCUCGUUGCAAGCCGCAAGUGCUGACAGCUAACAGCACCAAAUAAGACCCAGGGUCUCAGUCCUAAGAAAGCACUCUAUAAAUCAGUCAGUUAAUUGCUGAAAGAAAAGAGGGCACUGAAUCAUCUGUAUCUAUUUGAAUUUUAAGCCACUCGCUCAACCUGCACUUACACUCUUAACAAUUCAAUUUGGACUGAGGCUGAUAUAAAGCUGUAAGAAGGCACUACAGCAUCUUCAGUUCUCUCAUGCUGGUUGUGGGGCUUGUCUCUAAAGAGGACUGCAGACAAAUAAAGCACUUGAGAUAUACUAAUUUGCCUCCACUUUUGAAACCUUCCUCAAGAUACUACCUGGUGCAUGAGACUAGUGGGCUCUCAAAAACCUUGUAUUUUCUUUUUUUUUUUCAGGUUUAGGAGGAAGGCUUCUGAAGAAAUAGAAGAUUUUCGCCUCAAACCACAGAGC